rnacentral:lncRNA from 1 species
GAGUUUACGUACAUUGGAAUUAUAAAAUGUCAACUUAUGUAGAUUCUAUGCAUUGUGCUCUUAUCAUAAUCUGAAUUUCCUUACUUGCGUAUUCUUCCAAAUUUGCCUUUAAACAUAUAUUUUUGUGUUCAUGUUAGGAGGUCUAGGAAGCAAUGAUGAUUAUGGCUUCGUCUUAUCUCUGAUAAUACCUACGACAGUUAUUCUGCCUUUUUUUACAUGUCCUCCGUAAAUACACCUUCGAUCUCUGACCUCUGUUUCUUGGAAAAUACCAAAAUUGCGCAUACAAAAACCCAUGUCGAAACUAUUUUCUUCCUUCUCUUAUUUACUCUGUUUCGUUCUCUCCACUGCUCUGACC